GAAUGAGGCUGAGAUUAUUGAGCCAUUGAUUCAUUCUGUUUUAGUUAAUCUGGAGCAUCGACACCAGUUUAUUCGAAGGAAUGCAAUUCUUGCAGUAAUGGCCAUUUACAAACUUCCACAGGGUGAACAGCUCCUGGUUGAUGCUCCAGAAAUGAUUGAGAAGGUUUUGUCAACCGAGCAGGACCUAUCAGCCAAGAGGAAUGCAUUUCUUAUGCUUUUUAAUUGUGCACAGGAUCGUGCCAUUAAUUAUCUUCUGACCCAUGUCGAUAAAGUAUCUGACUGGGGGGAGCUGCUACAGAUGGUUGUGUUGGAACUGAUUCGGGAAGUAUGCAGAAAAAAUAAGGGAGAGAAAGGAAGGUAUAUAAAGAUCAUUAUAUCUCUACUUAAUGUUCCUUCUGCUGCUGUUAAAUAUGAAUGCGCUGGAACACUUGUGUCUUUGUCAUCUGCACCUACAGCAAUCAGGGCUGCCGCCACUACCUAUUGCCAACUUCUUUUGUCUCAGAGUGAGAACAAUGUCAAACUUAUAGUGCUUGAUCGCCUUAAUGAACUUAAAUCUUCUCCCAGGGAGAGUAUGGUUGAAUUGGUUAUGGAUGUGCUUAGAGCACUCUCUAUCCCAAACCCGGACAUUCGAAGAAAAACACUUGAUAUUGUUCUUGAAUUAAUUACUCCUAGAAAUAUCAAUGAGGUUGUUCUCACUUUGAAGAAGGAAGUCGUGAAAACUCAAGGUGGGGAUCUUGAGAAGAAUGGAGAGUCACGCCAAAUGUUUAUUCAAGCCAUUCAUUAUUGUGCAAUAAAGAUUCCAGAAGUGGCAAGCACUGUUGUUCAUCUAUUGAUGGACUUCUUGGGAGACAAUGUUGUUUCUGCUAUGGAUGUUGCUGUUUGUCUGCGGGAAAUAAUCGAAACCAACCCAAAAUUGAGGUCUCCUAUCGUAAAAAGGUUGUUUAAAUUAUCAAAACCAACCCAAAAUUGCUUCUGCUAGGUGUUUGUGUGCGAGAAAUAAUCAAAAUGAUGAAGAUCAAUGGUUUUUAAGGAUAUCUGCUUUUAAAAAAUAAGGGUUAGUGUUAAACAGAUAUUUUAUAUUUGUUAUUUAACAAAAAAAUAAGAGUUUAUUUCCGUAAAGAAAUUGAAUUUUAUAUAUUUUUUCAGAAUUAAGCUCUUUUUUCUCAAAAAUAAAUUUUGAGCACUUUUGACCGAUAAGGAAUGGAAGUGCAAAGAUGUGUCAUACACGUAUACAAUUAAGAGUUAAGACCACUAGCCGCGCAUAUCAUAGGCUGCGUAUGGAUGAUAUGUUGUUUCACGGCAGAGCAAUUGGAUGCUCGUAAUCUAAACAUCCAUCUUAACUUCCUUUUGUGGUGCAGUUUGGAAUCGGAAUCACAAAAGAGCGAUUUUUCUAAAACUGAAAAUCGAAACCAACCCAAAUGAAAAUCGAAACCAACCCAAACAUCAUUGGUGCGAUUCGGUUUAUAAUGAACGGUUCCAAUAUCAAAUGAUGCGUUUCGAUUUUCAAACCGUGAAAAAUCCGAGAUAUUAAAAUUCAUAGAUGAACACUUUGGGGCGGAAAACAAAACAAAUUUUACAACCAUCCAUAAAAAGAAACCUUACAUAAAAAAAAUUCUUAGUGUUCGAAUUUUCUCAGCAGAUUCAAUCAACUCCAAGUAAAACACUGCUCCACACUGAUUGUCUUUGCUUAAUCUCAUUUUUGAGCGUCUGUUCCCAAAUAUUAUACAAAUACAUGAAUAAAGCAUUGCAGGGAGUAGGAAUCGUUUCAGCUAUUAUAGAAUUAGAAAGACUGAGGAAUGACCGGCACUAACUGUGUUUACUUGGAUAUAAACAUAAUUAUAUAUUUUAUAAUAGAUAUAAUUUAUAUAUUAUUCUAUAUGUAAAUAUAUAACAUAAAUAAAUAAAUAUAAAAAUUAUUGCAGUUCGAUUUGAUUUGUAUUCGGUUUUAAAAUUUUUAAAAUCAAAAUCAAAUUCAAAAUAUCGGAGCGAUUUUUAUUCAGUUCAAUUUUUAUUUGGUGUGAUUUCAUGUAAUUUUUGGUUCGGUUUCCACUUAUCUGUGACCUUAACAUGUUAUCGUCCGCUUACAUAAAUAAAAAUUAAAUAGAAGCUACAGUUUAGGCUCUAUGGUGAAUUAGUGAGAUAUAGAGCUAAAUAGAAGCUACAAAUGACUUUCACCAUGUCAUGUUCACAGACUGAGAUAUAGAGCUUGAUUGCCGGCUUAUCAUUUACUCCUUCCGUCCCUCUCAUUUUUUUAUACUUUUUUAUUGCUCAACUUGUCUUUUAAAACGCGCCUUGCAGAGACUACAAAUGACUUUCACCGUGUCAUGUUCACGGACUGAGAUAUAGAGCUUAUUGCCAAAUGCUCUUUUGCCGGCUUAUCAUUUACUCCUUCCGUCCCUCUCAUUUCUUUAUACUUUUUUUAUUGCUCAACUUAUCUUUUAAGACGCAUAUAAAAUAUUAUUAUAUUUUAUUAGAGUAUCAGAAUGAGUGUCGAGCCCCGUUCCUAAGAUAAAUAAUUGAGAGGGACGGAGGAGUAUAAAUUAAAAUUCAUAUGUCAAUAAGUUAUGAGUUAAAUUCUGAUUUAUAAGUCAGAAGAUCUUAUUAAUCAGAACUGAUUAUUUGAAAAUUUAAAAUCUCGACCUUUUAGUGAAUUUUUAAAAUUUGAUAUUAAAGAAGUAUAUAGGUUAGUCCGUAUUUUGAUCAUAAAUUAGAAGUGACUUGGCUCAACGAAUAUGUCCUUGCGGCGGCAAAAGGAUUAGAAGUUACCCCACUCGGACGAGGUUUUUGAACAGAACUUCGAUAGGCGCGAGGUGUAAGCACCGCGAGGUGUGAAGCGAUGCAAGUAUAAAUUAUUUUUUUGUCAGUUAUAUAUUGAUCUGUCCUGUAAUGACUUAAAACAUUCACCAUCCGCUUGAAGGUGUGCAAUACGACAUCCAUUUGUGGAAAUACAAAGACAGUGUCUAUCGGUCAUAUCGUGGUAAUUAAGCUAAUCUGUGAAUGAAACAGAUAAUUAUUUGGAAAAUAGGAAAAAACAAUUUACAAUACAAUAUGCCUCAUGUUCCGUAGACAAUAGCACGAAACACGACAAAGUGAGGAGUGAGCUAGAGAAAAGAAACUAAAACACUUGUAUCAUAUUUGAAAAGAGAAGUGUUUUUGCGAUAAAUCUAAAACAUGAAAAAAAACAAUACAAGAUUGAGAGAGAUUGUAAACGACAACUGCCGGACUAGGCAGAAUAUUACCUAAAGGAUAUUAUGUGACAUAAAUUAGUGUAUAUAAGAAGAUGAGCCGUAAUGUCGAUUAAUCGCGGACUUUUAGAAAGUAAGAAAAUGAAGUGGUGGGAGAGUUGCAGUGUAGUGUUGUUGGUGAUGAGCUUUUUGGGUGCAGCUGCUGCACAAAAGGCGACUGUGAGAACGACAUACCAUAUAUAUGAGCCACAGAAGAUUGGAUGGGAUUAUAUGAAGGCAGGUGUGUAUUGUGCAACAUGGGAUGCUGACAAGCCUCUUUCCUGGAGAAAAAAGUUUGGUUGGACUUCUUUUUGCGGCCCUGCUGGUCCUCAUGGUCGCUCUUCUUGUGGAAGGUGUUUGAAAGUAAGUCUCUUUUUUUUGUUCAAUAAUUAAUUUACGAUCUGUUUAGGUGGAGUCAUGAACACAUGCUAAGCAUUAAUUUUUAUUAUGUAUUUAGCUCAUUUUGAUUGGUGUGUUUCUGUAUAUAAGGGUCCAAGUGGGAGUUAACUAAAAUAAGCUGAACUUAUAAAAUUUAGUGAUUAGCUUGUCUCAGUGACAUGUCAUAGAAAAAUAGAAUUAUUUAUUUAAGAACAGGUAGGUUUGUUAAUAGAUUGGAUAUUUGCGAAUUAAUUUAGAUGAAUAUGGAUUGUGUGAAAGAUAUUUGAUCCGAUAAUAGUAUUCCACAUAGAAUUGAAUAUGAAUAUAGGUCGCUACGAUUUGUUUAUUCACGACUUAAUGCGUUUACGGUUUUUCUAGUUGUGCCCAUGCAAAUGCUAGGCACUAAAUUUUAUAAAUUUGACUCUUUUUGAUUGGUUUUUGUUUUUUAAUAAUAGUGGACCCAUGCAUACAACAACUACACCAAUCAAAAUGACCCAAACCCAGGGGCGGACCCAGACAUCAAAUCACACCCGGGCUGGCUGUUCAGUGAUCAUCAUCCAUUGGCCGGUGCUAAUUUAAAAAACUGUAAAAAAAAAACUUCCAUAUUUCAUUUGUAGUUAUAAUAUAUUCUGAUUAUCUGUUUUUACAAAAAUAUUUUUAUUUAUUCAAUUUCAAAUUUAUUUAUUAAUUAUUUUUUUUAUUUGGUAAUUGAUUUUUGACACACAAUUUUAGAUAUUUUGUCUAAAUAGUAAAAUUAAUUAUUUGGGACGAAUUUAUUUAACCUGGAUAAUUUAAGAUGACGUAAUUUUAUGAUUAAUUCUAAAUACUUUUUACAAAGGAAUUAGUAAAUCUUAUAAUUGCAAAAUUUGGAGAUAAUUAUAAUUACAUGAUAUCAUAAAAAAAUUCAAGUUUUCGAGAAUCAUUAUUAAAAUUAGAAAAAACCUAAUAAGUAGUAAAUAUAAAUAAAACACAAAUUAGAAUCUUUAUUUAGAAAUAGAAAUUUCAUAACUAAUAACAAAUGUGUAUAUUAAUAUAUGUAAAAUGAAUUAUAUAAUAAUCUAAUUAAAAAUUAGAGAACAAAUACGUCCUAAAUCAAAAGGGAAAAAGUUCAAAGUGAUUUAUGUUGUGUUUGGUUGGGGUGAAUGAUUCCGGAAGGAAUGGAAUGAAAAAUGAACUAUUUUAUGGAUGAUUUUUAAGAACUUUCAUUCCUUCCUUCAUUCCAUUCCCUACAUCAUAUGUUAGAUGUCACCCCUUCCAUUUGAGAUGGAAUGCUCCAUUCUCUCUCAUUCUCAUUUUCUUCUCAAAUCUCAUCAUAGCAAUUUUGCACUCCUUCAAAAUCCUACAUCAUAUGUUAGAUGUCACCCCUUCCAUUUGAGAUGGAAUGCUCCAUUCUCUCUCAUUCUCAUUUUCUUCUCAAAUCUCAUCAUAGCAAUUUUGCACUCCUUCAAAAUUUUUCAAAACUUUCUUCACAUCUCUAUUAGUUUCAAGUAUUUUUUACUCAUUUCAUUUCAUUCCAUUCCAUUCUCCCCAACCAAACACAACAUUAUAGUUACAGACUUACAGUCUUUUGACACCAACAAUAAUAGAAUAUGUGUUCAACUACAGCUAAUUCUUGUUUCUUUGUGAAUCAAAAUUCAAAAUUGUGAAUCAAAAUUCAAAAAAGUUUACUGGGCUAGCAUGAAGGAACUGCCCGGGCUGAAGUCUCCAAAUCAAAGAAGUUAGUAAUAAAUCUGCUAGAAAGUGAGAAUGUUACCAGGGCUGGCACCAACCCUAGCCCCUUCUAUGGUCCGCCCAUGCCCAAACCUAUAGUGCUCAGUGCCCAUGAACACACAUUAGACAAACUCAUGUGUUUAACAAGAUUUUGUGCCAUGCUUUGAUCAGUUUGUACUUGUGAUUUGAUAUGUUGUUGUAUGCAGCUUACUAACACGGCGACAAAUGCAAAAGUAAAAGUGAGAAUAGUCGACCAAUGCAGCAACGAUGGUCUGGAUUUGGAUGUUGGCAUGUUUCAGAAGCUAGACACUGAUGGACAAGGCUAUGCUCAGGGCCAUCUCAGUGUCAAAUACCAGUUUGUUAAGUGCUGACUUUGUUUCUCUACAUUUAUGCUGUCCUUUCUGUAAUACAAAGAAAUCACCUCAAUGCCAGUUUUUUUCAAGUUUAAUUCACAAGUAUACUCGUGUCUUGUACUAUUCUUGGACUCUUGUGUUUUCUUCAGUCCCCUAUGUUGUUGAUGGCCCAAGUAAUUUUUUUUAAACCAAUUACGAUAUUUUAAUUUAAGAAAUUAAAAUUUGAGGCUAAAUUUUGAUUUUAUGAAUUAAUUAUUUGUCUCUUGAUUAUAUAUUCAAACGCUCGGCUUUUAUCAAAGAGGACUGUUGUUAACUUGUUAUAUAUGCAACAUAAUAACUACAUUUUUUUUAAAAAUUCAAUGACUUAAUUUUUUUGAUAAAAAUUACACGUAAGUUAUAAGUUACUCAUAAAACAAUUUUAUUUUUAUCAUUAGAUUUUUAAUAAUCCACAAGCAGUUAAUAAGUCAAAAUUAUCCAAAUAGACAUUUUAAAUUUCCAAAUAAGUCAUGUUAAGUCCUAAGUCACGUUAAAUCCUAAGACAUAAGCUCAGCCAAACAAUCUCUAGGGUCUGUUUGAGAGUGCUGUUAAAAAUUGUUGUGCUGUCGGAAAAAGUGCUGGUAAAAUAAGUGCUGUUGUAGAAAUCAAAUAACUGUUUGGUAAUUUUUUUAUAUUUACUUAUUUUGAGUUAUAAUAUAAAAAAAUAAUGAUUUUGGUGAUGUUUUAUAAUGAAAUCUAUAACAGCAUUCUGCAAAAGCUGAAAAGCAACCUUUUGUAAAAACAUGGGAGGACCUGCUUUUUCUAACAGCAGCUUUUCAGCUAAAAACUGUUGUUCGGAAAAGCUGCUUUUAGAUUUACCAAACAGUUUUUCACCUGAUUUUCAGCAAAAAACUGUUGUUGUUGUCUGCAAGAGCAACCCCAAACAGUACCUAAAUCAACUUUAUCAUUGAAAAUGUAGCCAAACGACUUCUAAAUCAACUUUCUCGUUGAAAAUCUACUCCUUCCUUCUCGGGAUAUAAUAAUUUAUUGAUUUUUUCCCCACGUAUUGUCUAAAAAUUUUAAUCGCAUAUUUAUAAAUAUUAUUUUUGAUAUUUUAUUUUUGUGAACAAAAGUAUGAUAUUAAUUACUUCAAAAAAAAAGGGUAUGCUGCUAUUAUUUUUAUUUAUAAUUUUUUUUAAAAAGAUAAUUUUAAAUAUUUAGUCAAUUUUUUUUUUUUUUUUAGAGCAAUUUAGUCAAAAUUUUUAAAAAAUCUUAAGAAAAGUAUAAGAGCUAUUCCAUACUAACAUAACAUAGAGAGAGUAAAGAUUACAAACCGGCGAAUCCCUUGUAAAUUAGUUGAAGGCGUGGUAUAAGAAAGAAAACCAGAUCUAUAAUUCCAUAGUUGAAUUCCGUGUGUACACUUCUCCGGCCACCGACAAUCAAUCGUUUGCUUCUCGGUAAUCAUCAACACACUCUUGUAGUAGUUAAUUAUAUACACUGAUGUACGUUUUGACCUAAUUACAGAUCUCGCAUUUUCAUUUGCCAUUUUUUUAAUUACGCUUUGGUUGUGAUUCCUUUCAUCUAUUUUCGCUAUUUGAUUCAUACAUUAUUCCUGCUCUUGUCUUUGUUGUGAGUGUGCGUAUGUAUGUUCAAAUCUCGCUGUAAAUCCUUAUACCUAGAUAUCAAUUUUAAUCUAUUUACACCUAGAUAUCAAUUUUAAUCUGAUUGUAAACAACCAAUGCAAUGUGAUUGGAUAUUACUCAGUUUUAUAUCAAUCUCAAUCGCGGUGAUGUUAGUACCAGUGCUUUUCGAUUUACUUUCUGUGUCGGUAACUUUUAUAUGUAUGUUCGUAUAUGUGGAAUUUUGCGGUUAUCUAUUUGCAUUUCAAUGUACUAAUAAUGUUAAUUUCUGUAUUGUGUGUAUGACGAUAUAGUUGUUUGUUUCUGUUAGUAAUACUGAGGUGUUUUAUGUUGUUCGAUCAGAUAAUUGGUGAGAUAUGGACAAAUCUUGCUCUCUGCUUGUUUAUUUUGAUAAAGGGACGCCUGCUCUUGCUAAUGAAAUCAAGGAAGCUCUAGAAGGGCAUGAUGUGGAAGCAAAAGUUGACGCGAUGAAGAAAGCUAUUAUGCUUUUGCUCAACGGAGAAACGCUGCCACAGCUUUUUAUAACAAUUGUUAGAUAUGUUUUACCUUCUGAGGAUCACACAGUUCAGAAACUACUGCUUCUUUAUCUUGAAAUCAUUGACAAGACUGAUGCCAAAGGCCGUGUCCUGCCUGAAAUGAUUUUGAUUUGCCAAAAUCUGAGGAAUAAUUUGCAGCAUCCAAAUGAGUACAUACGGGGUGUCACUUUGAGGUUUCUUUGUCGCUUGAAUGAGGCCGAGAUUAUUGAGCCUUUGAUUCCGUCUGUUUUAGCUAAUCUGGAGCAUCGACACCAGUUUAUUCGGAGGAAUGCAAUUCUUGCAGUAAUGGCCAUUUACAAACUUCCACAGGGUGAACAGCUCCUAGUUGAUGCUCCAGAAAUGAUUGAGAAGGUUUUGUCAACCGAGCAGGACCAAUCAGCCAAGAGGAAUGCAUUUCUUAUGCUUUUUAAUUGUGCACAGGAUCGUGCCAUUAAUUAUCUUCUGACCCAUGUCGAUAAAGUAUCUGACUGGGGGGAGCUGCUACAGAUGGUUGUGUUGGAACUUAUUCGGAAAGUAUGCAGAACAAAUAAGGGAGAGAAAGGAAGGUAUAUAAAGAUCAUUAUAUCUCUACUCAGUGUUCCUUCUGCUGCUGUUAUAUAUGAAUGCGCUGGAACACUUGUGUCUUUGUCAUCUGCACCUACAGCAAUCAGGGCUGCCGCCAAUACCUAUUGCCAACUUCUUUUGUCUCAGAGUGACAACAAUGUCAAACUUAUAGUGCUUGAUCGCCUUAAUGAACUUAAAUCUUCUCACAGAG
rnacentral:lncRNA from 1 species